UCCGGUUUCGCACCGGCAGUCUUCCUAGAGUCCCCGGCUUUACCCGCUGGUAACUGGGAACGGGGGUUGCGCUCGUUGCGGGACUUAACCCAACAUCUCACGACACGAGCUGACGACAGCCAUGCAGCACCUGUGCACGGACUCCGAAGAGAGGCUCCCCUUUCUGAGAGCUUUCCCGUGCAUGUCAAGCCCAGGUAAGGUUCUUCGCGUUGCGUCGAAUUAAACCACAUGCUCCACCGCUUGUGCGGGCCCCCGCCAAUUCCUUUGAGUUUCAGCCUUGCGGCCGUACUCCCCAGGCGGGGCACUUAAUGCGUUAGCGACGGCGCGGAUUCCGUUGGUUGGAACCCACACCUAGUGCCCAACGUUUACGGCAUGGACUAC
rnacentral:misc_RNA from 1 species